AAAGGUAGCUUGCUACUUAACCUAGCGGCGGACGGGUGAGUAAUGCUUAGGAAUCUGCCUAUUAGUGGGGGACAACAUCUCGAAAGGGAUGCUAAUACCGCAUACGUCCUACGGGAGAAAGCAGGGGACCUUCGGGCCUUGCGCUAAUAGAUGAGCCUAAGUCGGAUUAGCUAGUUGGUGGGGUAAAGGCCUACCAAGGCGACGAUCUGUAGCGGGUCUGAGAGGAUGAUCCGCCACACUGGGACUGAGACACGGCCCAGACUCCUACGGGAGGCAGCAGUGGGGAAUAUUGGACAAUGGGGGGAACCCUGAUCCAGCCAUGCCGCGUGUGUGAAGAAGGCCUUUUGGUUGUAAAGCACUUUAAGCGAGGAGGAGGCUACCGAGAUUAAUACUCUUGGAUAGUGGACGUUACUCGCAGAAUAAGCACCGGCUAACUCUGUGCCAGCAGCCGCGGUAAUACAGAGGGUGCAAGCGUUAAUCGGAUUUACUGGGCGUAAAGCGCGCGUAGGUGGCCAAUUAAGUCAAAUGUGAAAUCCCCGAGCUUAACUUGGGAAUUGCAUUCGAUACUGGUUGGCUAGAGUAUGGGAGAGGAUGGUAGAAUUCCAGGUGUAGCGGUGAAAUGCGUAGAGAUCUGGAGGAAUACCGAUGGCGAAGGCAGCCAUCUGGCCUAAUACUGACACUGAGGUGCGAAAGCAUGGGGAGCAAACAGGAUUAGAUACCCUGGUAGUCCAUGCCGUAAACGAUGUCUACUAGCCGUUNGGGCCUUUGA
rnacentral:rRNA from 1 species